CCCAGACUCCUACGGGAGGCAGCAGUGGGGGAUAUUGCACAAUGGGGGGAACCCUGAUGCAGCGACGCCGCGUGGGUGAAGGAGCGUUUCGGCGCGUAAAGCCCUAUCGGCAGGGAAGAAGGAGGACGGUACCUGACUAAGAAGCCCCGGCUAACUACGUGCCAGCAGCCGCGGUAAUACGUAGGGGGCAAGCGUUAUUCGGAUUUACUGGGUGUAAAGGGGGCGCAGACGGCAGCGCAAGCCAGGAGUGAACGCCCGGGGCCCAACCCCGGGACUGCUCUUGGAACUGCGCGGCUGGAGUGCAGGAGGGGCAGGCGGAAUUCCUGGUGUAGCGGUGAAAUGCGUAGAUAUCAGGAGGAACACCGGUGGCGAAGGCGGCCUGCUGGACUGCGACUGACGUGGAGGCCCGAAAGCGUGGGGAGCAAACAGGAUUAGAUACCCCGGUAAC
rnacentral:rRNA from 1 species